UACUUUGGGUACGGUGGUCUGGUAAUUCGGUUGUUAUGGCGGGCGACACUUGUUUAGCUGCGGUUACAUUUGGUAGUUAGUACGCUAAUGCUGGUCCGCAUGGGUUAGGAGUGGUCUAAUUUUUCUAUGGUUAGGCUUCUGUACCUUCUAAUAAUAUGAAUACUGUCUGGAAUCUGGAUUCUCGAGUCAGUCGCGCCACUCUACCAUUUUUCACGUGAGCACCGACGGCGUCCCGUCGUGUGUUUUCGAGCACAGGAACAAGCGCCGCUUUUUAUUCAGACCGAUCGAUCAAUUCAAAGCCAUCAACACUUUGGAACUUCGCGGCACUAGAUUGUACCCGUGCAUGUCCGGGCACAGGAGGACUUUUGCUUUUGCAAGUUUGGAGACAAGCACGGAUUUCUUUCCCUCUCUUUCGAGGAAAAACAAUAGAAGCACGGCCGAUGGGCGUGGAUUUUUGUCUCCUAGGUGCUCCGCCAUCGUACACGAACAUCAAAUUCAAAAAUAUCUGGAAAAUUGAAAAAAAGGGUUUGGGGAUAUCAAAUCUGGGUGCUCAAUCUACUCCCACGUAAAGUUCCGCAAAAUUUACAUUCGUGGUACUCUAAGUAAAAAAGACAAAGAAAAUCAUAUGUACAAAAAAGAAACUAUUAGGGUGGAUCGUGUCGGACCGUAUUUUCUUUUCUUGGUUUUUUCAUGAAAUUUAACACGGAAGUAGAUUGGUCACCUAGGUUUGAUACCCCAAGAUUCCAGUUUUUUUAGUUUUCUUGUUAUUUUUUAAAUUUGGUAUCCUAUAUACCUAAGAGAUUCAUCCCCACUAACAUAUUUAUCUUAGCAUGCAAGCUGUCCACCUCAUCACACAUUCACACAUGCCACGUCAGGCUUUCUGUUACAAACAGCCACUCUCCAGAUGAACAACCAUCUCCCUUAGAAAAAAAAAAUACAUAUCUUUUUAAUUCAACUUACUUCUUUUUAUAUUUAACUGACGCCAAGAAUACACGAUCUUCUCCCCUUCCCGGUCUCUUCCCCUUCUCGGCCCUUUUUAUCCCCUACCUUCUCGGUCUCUCUCUCCCAUAGUAGGACCGGCCCAGGUGACCGCAGCAGACGGUUGGAGAAGGUUGGGAAGGCAUCGAUGGGGAUAGAUUGGAGCUCUUUUGCACAGACGGCUCCCUCCUCUCUCUCCAGUACAUCCCGUUCCGGUGCUCUGAUGUCCAGUAACCAUGGUAACCGCCGCUGGUGUUCGGAUCUGGGCGGAUGGACCUGAGUGCGCGCGGCGGGUUAGUGUCGUAACCCCAGUGGACGAGUCUCCACUUGAGCAGACCGUUCCAGUCGGGGCCGCCUCCUGCUCCUUCCUAGGCCAUGGUCUCAUGGUUGCCGCCGGAGAGACAGAUGUUGCUGCCGGUGCGGUGGGUUCCUGACUUCCAGGUGGGUACCAUCGCCUCCAUUGACUCCCCGCUCCUCCUUGUAAUAUAUUUAUGGUGAUUUAACUAUUGAUUUUCAUAGAAUAA